ACACAAGGAGGCGCUGUCUGCAUCCAAGACACACACAUCCACGUACCCAGAUCACCUAAUGUGCAAGUGAAAUGCGAAAAGUAGGAUUGACUUGAUGUUUAAUUAAAAAAAAAUCCUCUAUGCAUGACGACGGUUUUUUUUGUCGGAUUAACCCAGGUGACGUCCAAAGGGUCAGGAUCUUCUUGCCUGACCUCUGACCUGACUUCCUGGAAGGAGAUCACCUGCUGCUCCUCCUAGUUGUGGGACAGCUUCUGUUAAGCCUCGUUCGACUGCAGCCAGCUGAGAUGACGAGAGAUUCAGACAACUUUCUUCAGAUACGGUGUUUGCACAGCUAGAGGUGAAGAGGUGUCACCUGAACUCUGAGAUCACCUGUUAGUCCAACAACGUGAAUGGCGUUGUGUUGUCAGCCAAUGAGGUUUGAGGUUCACUAACACUGGUACCUUUGUACGACUAACAUGCCAGAUGAGACUAAAAUUAAAUGCACUUUAAUUGCCGCCUGUGCCCCCGGUAUGUGUGAGAGUAACGAGACGACAUUUCAACUAAUCAAAUCUCCCGAGGGCUUUAGGAAGGAGCCGCAGUACGUCUGUGUGUAUGAAAUCAUGAAAUUAGAGGAUACCCUACAUCUGAUAAAAGAUGACAACAAACAACUUGUCCAGUCAGUUUCUGCUCUGCAGGCAGACGUCAGGAGCACAAGUCCGCCAUCUUGUGGCCAUUAGAAAACAGAAAAGCUUCGCACCUGCACCUUCUUUUCUCUUUUCUUCACAUCGGUUUGUUUCAUGGUUCAAAGUUUGGACAGUUUUUUUUUUCAUAUUAGCAAUACCUAAUUCAACCGUAAGCUUAUUAAAUGAAACGCAGGUAGUUUCACAGUCAGGCUGCUCUACAUGGAGUUCACUUGAUUUGACUGUUGACAGUUUGAUGUAAAUCUGGAUUCUUUUAAACCAGGUUAAAUUUAGUUGAAGCUGCAUUUAGAACAACAAGUCAUUCAGCUUAAACCUGCUAAAGUGCAAUUUACUGAAUCCUAACCAAGACUUUAAUGUUAACGUCAUACAUGAACCAAUUUCGCAAUAUAUGUAUAUAAUAAAUUACUUGGAUGUAAGUAAUCAGUUAAUUCUAAGUAAAUCUGAGUCAACUGUGUAAAUUACUUAAGUUACAUUACUUCAUUUAGUUAAGAUAUGUUUGAAAUAAGUGACUUUGUUUGCUUUAAAUGUUUGAGCUCCUUAUUUGCAGGGAAAAGCAGCUGGUAUUUAAAAAAAUCCUGAUUCCAUGAGUCAAACAUCCCCCAACACAACUGGCCACCAGGAAAAGUUUGUAACAAUUGUAAUUUAUUUUGCUGUUUGAUUCUCUUUCAUUUCAUCAUCAUAUAUAAUCUUCUUAAUGUGGUUUUAAAGCCAAGAAAUAUACUUCUGGUAGAGGAAUGCUAAAUCCUUGAAACUGUUUUUGGUGUAAACACAGUAAAAUGUAAGAAUAUUGGCUCUAAAAAAUGAAUCAGUCCCUUUAAAAAAGCCCACCAUGUGUAACCGCAGAAAACAAACUCCCCAGAUCAUUAAAAGAAAACAGAAGAUAUGACGUAACUGUGGCCCUGAGGAAAAGUCAUGAUGGUGUGCCAGCCAAUGAUGACGGCUCUUACCUUUUCUUUUAAACCAGAGAUGUACUAUUAUCUGUUAAACUCAGCAAAUCAGAAGAUCAUAGCUGGAUUAUAUAAGGAUUAUUUAAAUAAGAAAGUAAUGAUGUGUAUAUAAUAGUGAUCAUUUGCAUCAACAUGUUAAUCUCUGUGGAAAAAACUCAAAAAAAACCAAACAAACAGGAAAACAAGUACAAGUUUCCAUCCCAUUUAUUCCUGGUUUCUAUUUUGUACAUUAAGCUGCAAUAAAACCAACAGAUCUAAAAAUGACACAUGAAGGAAAAGAAACUCAACGUGGACAGAAAUGCGAGGAGAGACCAUAUCCAAACAAUGACUGGCCGGUCGACUUUACAAAGGCUUCUGAUAAAAAGCAAAAGACGUCUGAUGGCGAUUGAAGGGAAACAGAUUCAGGUUAAUAACUGACUAAACAAUUAAAAAAAAAAAAAAAAAAAAAAAAAGCCAUUGCACUCCUACUUCCCCUGAGGUUCCCAGACACACAAACAGACGGUAAACUUUUUUUUAAAAAGGCACUUAACAAGGGAUUGCAUGAUGUAUCAGUGCAUAUUAAAACUUAAAUUCCACUUCUUCAAAGACGUUUCUCUACAGCGGACCUGGGCCCCGAGAAGAUGAUCUCACACCGUCGUAAGUCGACGGGACGAGAUCGUCUCAGCCUUCGGAUGCUUUUUGGGUGGGGGUGGGGGGGGGGGGGUACGGGGGCCUUGAUCUGUGGGAGGUUCUUUGAAUGUAGAAGGCCUAUAUAAGUAUUUGCUGAAUACUACAGACUUUUAUAUGUAAAAUCCUGUAAGUACAGUCGACCACACAGGCCUGUAAACUGUAACGGCUGGAUGAAGAAAACUGGUUGGUUAAGACCUGGCCGAGAAAUAUAUAUAUAUAUAUUUAUAUAUAUAUAUAUAAUUACCUUUGGUUUGUCUGUGCUUCUGUACUGACGAGCACAUACUGCACAUAUAUAUAUAGAGAGAGAAUCCACCAAAAAACUCCUGAUCCAAAUUAUAUUAAAAUCUUAAGAUCGUUCAAUUAAAGAGGACAUCGUUAAUGAAGAACAAGAUACAUACAUAACAUACAUACAUACAGCGUGUAUGGCCUUCCACAGUACAUUAAAUUUGGAGAAACUCGUUCAUAUGAAAUAUUAGGACAUAGUAGAAACUCAUUCAUUCAUUAAACCUUCAGAAAUUACAGAAGAACAUUUCUGCUUUCAGGUGGAUUCUCACUUAAAAAACAAACAAAAAAAAAAAAAUAUAUAUCAGGUUAAGAAAUGAUAAGCCAAUUUUUUUUUAAAUUACAUAUUCCAAACUGUUGCAUAUACUAGGACUAAGGAUUGCACGUACAUACUAUUAUAGUUCUAUACAGUAUAUAACAUUUAACAUUCUAGUAUAAAAUAUAGUCCUAGGCCUAUCAAUAGAUAUCUUUUCAUAUACAUUCGGGGUAAAGCGUAGGCUGGGCUGGAUCUUGUAUGAAAGCGACAUUUAAAUACAGUCAAACACAGAGUUUCUGUGGCUGGUCGAUGCUUUGACAGAUUAACUGGUUGAUUCUACACAGCAAAAAAAACCGUUCUCCUUUCUCCUCUAAGUCAGCUUUAAAGCAGAGACAUGAUGAAAAAAACAAAACAAACAAA